GCGAGAAAGGUCCCUUAAACAGCAGAUGGCUGUCUGAGUGGUUCUGAAACAUUUAGUUUCUAUUUGAUAUUAACCACAAGUAGUCAGAAAAUAGCUUGGCUCAUGCUACUCAGCAAAUUCUCUCAAGGGCAAGGAUUCAUGCCAUGAGUUUUUUAAGGUCUGAUGACUAAAUCUCCUACUUCAUUUAUUACGGGGGCACUAUCUGUUCUCUGGGGGCAGCACAGAAUAGAAAAGAAACAUUUUGUAGAAAGAGGUUGGAUGAUGAGUGUGCAUCUCUUUCCCCAAUGCUGCAUUUUGUCACUUCAGCCCAGGACGAGAGCAGCCAACUAAAGAGCUUCUGGAUGUUGCAUUGUAAAAGAUAAGAAAAGAAUCCCAUUGAAUGGCUAGCAAGCAGAAGAAUGCAUGUCAGCUCCUUCUGUGAAUACCUAAGGAAUGGAAUGGCAGCCCUGCCCCCCAACUUCACAGAGAUACAGAGACUGUGGUAAUUCAAAAGAAGAAGAAGAAGAAGAAGAAGAAGAAGAAGAAGAAGAAGAAGAAGAAGAAGAAGAAGGAGGAGGAGGAGGAGGAGGAGGAGGAGGAGGAGGAGGAGGAGGAGGAGAAAAGAUGGGAAAGAGGGUUUCCAUUUGGGGAGAAUUGUUCUCAACCAACUUUAUAAUGUAACCUAUGAAUAUUUGAUCUUUGAAUCUCUAUGGCAUAUAGGAAAAUUUCUUUUAAUUAUAUUGAGCACUGGAGGUUGUAUAUACAUAGUUUAACACUGAAAAUUCUUAACCACUUAAAUAAAUUCUUAGGUUGCAUGUUCA
rnacentral:lncRNA from 12 species